rnacentral:rRNA from 1 species
ACUCCUACGGGAGGCAGCAGUGGGAAUAUUGCACAAUGGGGAAAGCCCAUCGAUGCAGCCAUGCCGCGUGUGUGAAGAAGGCCAAUUCGGGCUUGUUAAAGACACUUUUCAGUAGGGAGGAAGGUAGUGUAGUUAACACCUGCAUUAUUUGACGUUACCUACAGAAGAAGCACCGGCUAACUCCGUGCCAGCAGCCGCGGUAAUACGGAGGGUGCGAGCGUUAAUCGGAAUUACUGGGCGUAAAGCGCAUGCAGGCGGCCUGUUAAGUCAGAUGUGAAAGCCCGGGGCUUAACCUCGGAAUUGCAUUUGAAACUGGCAGGCUAGAGUCUUGUAGAGGGGGUG